rnacentral:lncRNA from 1 species
AUCCUACUGGAAGCCUGAUCCCCUUUCCCUGACUGAGUCUGUAUCCUACUGGAAGCCUGAUCCCCUUUCCCUGACUGAGUCUGUAUCCUACUGGAAGCCUGAUCCCCUUUCCCUGACUGAGUCUGUAUCCUACUGGAAGCCUGUAUGGGGGAGGUGUUGCUGUAUAUAUUCAGAGCCAUAUCCCUGUAAUGUUUAUGGGGGAGGUGUAUAUAUUCAGAGCCAUAUCCCUGUAAUGUUUAUAGGGGAGGUGUAUAUAUUCAGAGCCAUAUCCCUGUAAUGUUUAUGGGGGAGGUGUAUAUAUUCAGAGCCAUAUCCCUGUAAUGUUUAUGGGGGAGGUGUAUAUAUUCAGAGCCAUAUCCCUGUAAUGUUUAUGGGGGAGGUGUAUAUAUUCAGAGCCAUAUCCCUGUAAUGUUUAUGGGGGAGGUGUAUAUAUUCAGAGCCAUAUCCCUGUAAUGUUUAUGGGGAGGUGUAUAUAUUCAGAGCCAUAUCCCUGUAAUGUUUAUGGGGGAGGUGUAUAUAUUCAGAGCCAUAUCCCUGUAAUGUUUAUGGGGGAGGUGUAUAUAUUCAGAGCCAUAUCCCUGUAAUGUUUAUGGGGGAGGUGUAUAUAUUCAGAGCCAUAUCCCUGUAAUGUUUAUGGGGGGAGGUGUAUAUAUUCAGAGCCAUAUCCCUGUAAUGUUUAUGGGGGAGGUGUAUAUAUUCAGAGCCAUAUCCCUGUAAUGUUUAUAGGGGAGGUGUAUAUAUUCAGAGCCAUAUCCCUGUAAUGUUUAUGGGGGAGGUGUAUAUAUUCAGAGCCAUAUCCCUGUAAUGUUUAUGGGGGAGGUGUAUAUAUUCAGAGCCAUAUCCCUGUAAUGUUUAUAGGGGAGGUGUAUAUAUUCAGAGCCAUAUCCCUGUAAUGUUUAUGGGGGAGGUGUAUAUAUUCAGAGCCAUAUCCCUGUAAUGUUUAUAGGGGAGGUGUAUAUAUUCAGAGCCAUAUCCCUGUAAUGUUUAUAGGGGAGGUGUAUAUAUUCAGAGCCAUAUCCCUGUAAUGUUUAUAGGGGAGGUGUAUAUAUUCAGAGCCAUAUCCCUGUAAUGUUUAUAGGGGAGGUGUAUAUAUUCAGAGCCAUAUCCCUGUAAUGUUUAUAUGUAUUGAUCACAUUUUUAUCUAAUACUGUAGAACUUUGUUCUAAAGCUGUAUCUGUACCCAUUGAAUGCAGUGAUUACCAUAUAGUGGCUAUAUCCAGGAAAGGCAAAGUUCCAACAGCUGGUGCCUAAAAUAGUGUAUAAGAGAUCAUACAUAACAUUUAGCUGUGACUCUUAUGUGGAUGAUGUUAAAAUUAUGUGUUGGUCUGAUGUGAUUAAUAAGGAGCAUCCAGAUGCUGCACUUGAUGAAUUUAUGAAAUUGCUUCUUCCAAUGAUUGAUAAACAUGAACCUGUUAAGAAACUGACCGUUAGAACUGUUAAGGCUCCACGGAUUGAUGAGGAACUGACCGUUAGAACUGUUAAGGCUCCACGGAUUGAUGAGGAACUGACCGUUAGAACUGUUAAGGCUCCACGGAUUGAUGAGGAACUGACCGUUAGAACUGUUAAGGCUCCGCGGAUUGAUGAGGAACUGACCGUUAGAACUGUUAAGGCUCCACGGAUUGAUGAGGAACUGAAAACCUGUAUGGUUGAAAGAGACGGGGAUAAAGGAGUGGCUAAUAAGACUGGCUGCAAAUGAAAAAAUUAUGUGACUGAACUCAACAAAAAGUAGAAACUGUGUUAUGAUGCCGAGAUGAAUGAUUGCAUAAAACUUUGGCGUACUUUAAAUGAAACUAUGGGCACAAAGACAUUCAACUCCAUCAUUCAUCACAAAACCAUUUGAUGUUGCCAAUUACUUCAUUUGGCAAAGUGGGCAAGAAAUGCCAACAACAAACAGUGAGACGUAUUCAUGCAUAAAAAAACGAAUAAUGAAAGAAAAGCAUUGCAAGUUCGAAUAUUAUAAAGUUAGUGUGGGAGAGGUAGAAUUGUUAUUGAUAAAUAAUGACAAACUUCCUGGCAUUGACAACUUAGAUGGAAAGUUGAGGAUGGUAUCUGACUCUAUAGCCACUCCUAUCUGUCAUAUCUUUAACCUGAGACGAGAGGAAAGUCUUUGUCCUCAGGCCUGGAGGGAAGCCAAAGUCAUUCUGCUACCCAGGAGUGGUAAAGCGGCCUUUACUGGAUCUAACAGCAGACCUAUCAGCUUGCUGCCAGCUCUUAGCAAACUGUUGGAAUAAAUAGUGUUUGUAUCAAGGCACAAGGCGAGUCCCAAUCACAGGGACAGGUGAAACCCAAUCACAGGGACAGGUGAAACAGACACAAGGUGAGACCCAGAUGCAGACACGGGAGGCAGAUGGUUGGAGUCUUACAAUGUUUAAUCAUUCAAAAGGAGUAGGCAAGAGAAUGGUCGUGGACAGGCAAAAAGGUCAUAACCAGAUCAGAGUCCAAUAGGUACCGAAGGGCAGGAAGAUUCAAGGUCAGGGAAGGCAGGAUGAUCAGGCAGGCAGGAAAGGAGUCCAGAGUCAAGCAGGGGUCAGAAUCGGGAAGACUAGCAAAAGAGAAUAGAAAAAGCACUCUGGUUGACUUGACUAAACAUACAAGACGAACUGGCACAAAGAAACAGGAAACAGGGAUAAAUACACUGGUACAGAGAGACAGGAAACACAGGGAUAAAUACACUGGUACAGAGAGACAGGAAACACAGGGAUAAAUACACUGGCACAGAGAGACAGGAAACACAGGGAUAAAUACACUGGUACAGAGAGACAGGAAACACAGGGAUAAAUACACUGGUACAGAGAGAGAGGAAACACAGGGAUAAAUACACUGGUACAGAGAGACAGGAAACACAGGGAUAAAUACACUGGUACAGAGAGACAGGAAACACAGGGAUAAAUACACUGGGGAAAAUAAGCGACACCUGGAGGGGUGGAGACAAUCACAAGGACAGGUGAAUUAGAUCAGGGCGUGACAGUUUGACCAAAUACAAUGCUAUUUCUCUGUAAACAAAUGAACAACAGACUUUCAGCAUGCUUAUAGAGAAGGGCACUCAACAUGUACUGCACUGACACAAACGGUUGAAAGAAGUUGAUAAUAAGAAGAUUGUGGGAGCUGAACUGUUAGAUUUCAGUGCAGCCUUUGAUAUUAUUGACCAUAACCUGUUGUUGAGAAAGCAGAUGUGUUAUGGCUUUUCAACCUCUGCCAUAUCGUGGAUUCAGAACU